rnacentral:rRNA from 1 species
GAGGUAUUUUGACUGUGCUAAGGUAGCGAAGUCAUUUGUUCUUUUAUUGAGAACUUGUAUGAGUGGAGUUAUGGAGGUUUUUUUAUAAACGGUUUUUUGGCUGAAUUUGAUUUAUCUACGAAAAGUUAGAUUUGUUUUCAAAGACGAGAAGACCCCGAAAUCUUUAUUUUAAAAUAAUGGGUUUUAAUUUUUGUUUGGGGGAAAAGUUAAUUUGUAUUAUUUUCUUUUUUAGUGUGAACUUUGUUAGGUUAAAUGGAUAGAUACUUCGGGGUUAACAGGAUAAUUUUCUUUUGAAGUUCUUAUUUUAGAGGGAGAUUGUUACCUCGAUGUUGGCUUUUGA